rnacentral:miRNA from 1 species
UAAAUUUCUCGCCUUUCACAAU